rnacentral:tRNA from 1 species
GCUUGAAUGGCCUACUGGUUAGCGCUUCAGACUUGUAACUAGAGGGUUGCCGGUUUGAACCCUGACCUGUAGGCA